rnacentral:rRNA from 1 species
UACGUAGGGGGCGAGCGUUGUCCGGAUUUAUUGGGCGUAAAGAGCUCGUAGGCGGCUGUUCGAGUCGGGUGUGAAAUCCUGAGGCUUAACCUUGGGUCUGCAUUCGAUACUGGGCGGCUUGAGUCUGGUAGGGGGAUCUGGAAUUCCUGGUGUAGCGGUGGAAUGCGCAGAUAUCAGGAGGAACACCAAUGGCGAAGGCAGCUCGCUGGGACGUGACUGACGCUGAGACGCGAAAGCGUGGGGAGCAAACAGG